rnacentral:rRNA from 1 species
AGAGCGAACGCUGGCGGCGUGCUUAACACAUGCAAGUCGAACGAGGUCUGUAGCAAUACAGAUACUCGUGGCGAACGGGUGCGUAACACGUGGAUAACCUUCCUUCAGGUGGGGAAUAACCCAGUGAAAAUUGGGCUAAUACCGCAUAACAUGACGAUGCCACAUGGUGUUGUCUUCAAAGGCGCAAGUCGCCAGAAGAGGGAUCCGCGGCCGAUUAGCUAGUUGGCGAGGUAAUGGCUCACCAAGGCAAUGAUCGGUAGCCGGACUGAGAGGUUGGCCGGCCACACUGGAACUGAGACACGGUCCAGACUCCUACGGGAGGCAGCAGUGGGGAAUCUUGCACAAUGGACGAAAGUCUGAUGCAGCAACGCCGCGUGGGGAUGAAGCUUUUCGGAGUGUAAACCCCUUUCGACCCGGAAGAAAGCCCGCAAGGGUUUGACGGUACGGGUAUAAGAAGCCCCGGCUAACUACGUGCCAGCAGCCGCGGU